rnacentral:rRNA from 1 species
CCCUUAGAUGUCCUGGGCUGCACGCGCGCUACACUGGAAGUUACGGAUUGAGAUACUACCUUGUCCGAAAUGGUCCGGGUAAUCACCUAAAAGCUUGUCAUAAUUGGAAUGGAUUAUUGUAACUAGUAAUCCUGAACGAGGAAUUCCUAGUAAGUCCCAGUCAACAGCUGGUACUGAUUACGUCCCUGCCCUUUGUACACACCGCCCGUCGCUACUACUGAUUGGACGUAUAAGCAAGAUUUUUAAACACUGACAGUGUGUAGUUCACGCUAUACUACAGUGAGAAGAAGAAGAUCGAGCUUACUUGUCUAGAGGAAGUAAAAGUCGUAACA